rnacentral:rRNA from 1 species
UACGUAGGGGGCAAGCGUUGUCCGGAAUCAUUGGGCGUAAAGAGCGUGUAGGCGGUUUGGUAGGUCCGCUGUGAAAACUCGAGCUCAACCUCGAGACGCCGGUGGAAACCAUCAGACUAGAGUCCGGAAGAGGAGAGUGGAAUUCCUGGUGUAGCGGUGAAAUGCGCAGAUAUCAGGAAGAACACCCGUGGCUAAGGCGGCUCUCUGGGCCUGUACUGACGCUGAGGAGCGAAAGCGUGGGGAGCAAACAGG